rnacentral:piRNA from 1 species
UGGAAAAGCUACGGAAUCGCCAGGAUGU